rnacentral:rRNA from 1 species
AUUGAACGCUGGCGGCAGGCCUAACACAUGCAAGUCGAGCGAGCGGCGGACGGGUGAGGAAUGUCUGGGAAACUGCCUGCUGGAGGGGGAUAACUACUGGAAACGGUAGCUAAUACCGCAUACCAUCUGAUGUGCCCAGAUGGGAGUAGCUAGGAGGUGGGGUAACGGCCCACCUAGGCGACGAUCCCUAGCUGGUCGGGGAGGAUGACCCGCCACACUGGAACGGAGACACGGUCCAGACGCCUACGGGAGGCAGCAGUGGGGAAUAUUGCACAAUGGGCGCAAGCCUGAUGCAGCCAUGCCGCGUGUGUGAAGAAGGCCUUCGGGUUGUAAAGCACUUUCAGCGGGGAGGCGGUACCCGCAGAAGAAGCACCGGCUAACUCCGUGCCAGCAGCCGCGGUAAUUC